GAUGAACGCUGGCGGCGUGCCUAAUACAUGCAAGUCGAGCGAACGGACGAGAAGCUUGCUUCUCUGAUGUUAGCGGCGGACGGGUGAGUAACACGUGGAUAACCUACCUAUAAGACUGGGAUAACUUCGGGAAACCGGAGCUAAUACCGGAUAAUAUUUUGAACCGCAUGGUUCAAAAGUAAAAGACGGUCUUGCUGUCACUUAUAGAUGGAUCCGCGCUGCAUUAACUAGUUGGUAAGGUAACGGCUUACCAAGGCAACGAUGCAUAGCCGACCUGAGAGGGUGAUCGGCCACACUGGAACUGAGACACGGUCCAGACUCCUACGGGAGGCAGCAGUAGGGAAUCUUCCGCAAUGGGCGAAAGCCUGACGGAGCAACGCCGCGUGAGUGAUGAAGGUCUUCGGAUCGUAAAACUCUGUUAUUAGGGAAGAACAUAUGUGUAAGUAACUGUGCACAUCUUGACGGUACCUAAUCAGAAAGCCACGGCUAACUACGUG
rnacentral:rRNA from 1 species